rnacentral:rRNA from 1 species
UGCGUAGGUGGUCAGGUAAGUCGGAUGUGAAAGCUCGGAGCUCAACUCCGAAAUGGCAUUGGAAACUACCUGGCUCGAGGGUUGGAGGGGGGACUGGAAUGCUUGGUGUAGCAGUGAAAGGCGUAGAUAUCAAGCGGAACACCAGUGGCGAAGGCGAGUCCCUGGACAACUCCUGACACUGAGGCACGAAAGCUAGGGGAGCAAACA